GUGUCAAGCUGCAGGCUUGGAGUUCGCUGUUAUACAGUUAUACUAAUUAAAAAGUGCCUUACAAGAACUCACCCCUAAAAGCUAGCUAUUAGAGAAAUAAAGUCCAUAAUUUUAUUUAUUUACAUCAAAUUCCUCACAUAACCAAUGUGAGACGCUGUGGCCACAUAUUGAAACGUCAGUGCUAACUUGCUAUGGUGGAGUUGUCAACACACAGUAGCAAAUUUUGUACAUGGUGAUGCAAUGCUUAGGAUUUGUAGGGAAAACUGUUACAUAUAAUACAUAUCUCCAAAUGUUUUCAAAACUUGAAAUAUUGGUUAAACAUCCUGAGAAUUAAGUUCUCUAACGUUAAUAUAUUUUUGCAUUAUGCCUCAAUAUCAAAUAUUGCUAGUAGCAUUCCAUUCUCAAGUCUCUUGAAUUUACUUGGGGCCAGAACUGCAUGCUGCACUUUGUUUUGCAUUAAUGAUGAGGUUCUCUACUGUGUCUGUGUGUGUUGUUUGUUGGUUUCCAAGUAUGCUGAUACCAGCAACAAUUGCUUCAGGUUCAAAACGUAAACACAUUGC
rnacentral:misc_RNA from 1 species